AUGGAGUUAAGUUUGUCUCAUACGCUUCAUCUUUUUAAUAUCUUUCGUGAGAAUGAUGGAAAGGAAAAUUGUGCUCAAGUGCUAGAAGAAGAAUUACAUAGAAUGCUUUGCAUAAAAUAUGUGAAUGAUGAGCAUGAUUGCAAUGUUGUUAGUAUGAAUUCCCUGAAUACCCAUGAUGCUAAUGAUAUGCAAAGCCACAAGCUUGGGGAAGCUAUGUUUGAUGGAGAUGAUAUUUUUUGUCCCCCAAGCUUUGAUGAGCAAAUUUACUAUGAUGAAAGCAUGCCUCCUAUCUAUGAUGAUUAUUGUGAUGACAUCUUGUGA
rnacentral:rRNA from 1 species